GGUGGCUCAGUGGUAGAGUGCUUGCCUUGCAUGCAUGAGACGCUGGGUUCGAUUCCUCAGCACCA
rfam:Dipodomys ordii contig_40170, whole genome shotgun sequence.